GAGACAGAAUGUCAGUUUUGAAAUAUAGGAGUUCGAGAUUAGAAACCUAAUACUUUUGUUAUGAAUUAUGCUAAAACGGUAAAAAAAUUUUCAAAAUAUAGUUGUCUCAAAUACACUCUUCUCAGAUAACAGAAGGCCAGGCAAGGGCACUGACUUGAAGGGAAACAAACCACAGUAAUAUGACUGCCUGAAAGUAACUAUGGAAUUCAGUUUCUCAAAGUGAUUACUUCUUCUAAUCUUCAUAUUGAUGACUCACUAGUACAUUUACUUUGAUGGGUUUAAUCAACUCUGAUAACAUAGUUCCAAACACUUAAAAGGACCUGAUUUAUGUAUUAAAUAAAGGUUAAUUUGUUCUUGAGAAAUUGACAAAAGAUUUGGUCAAACGUAAAUGAAUAUGCAAUAAGUCACAUAAGUCUGUGUGUAUAUACAUAUAUGACUUUAAUUUUAUAAGUGCAUGUGUAUACGCACACCUUUAGCUCAUUUAAAUAAAAAGCUAUCCAAUGUUUUAUGUCCAUUAUGUCCCCCGUUAACAUUGAGCAAAAUGUUAACCCCUACUAUAUAUGCAAGGGAAAUAAAUUAAGUUGUUAUAUAGAAACCCUUGACACUAUAUGCAAUUUCUUAUGUCCCAUAUUCUGAUAAUAUCUGUCCUCUUGGCUCUUACUUCUUGGAAUUUCUCAUAAACACGGAAGCUUCAUGACAAAUUGUGUAAAUCAUCAUUUCCUCCUUUAUGAAGUAUAUUGAAGACAAAAGGGAUUAAAGUCAUUUCACAUUUAGCAAAGCUAUUUUAUGGCAACAUUGUUACAACACAAAAUAGACAUUGCAGUUUACAAUUAACAAUUACACAGUGAUUUCAUAACAAUACUACUUACUCCAAUUAACAAAAUAUUUCUUUAUAAAAAAUAUGUUCAAAAGGAGGUUUACAUUCACUUCUUCGUUUAAUAUCAAGGUUGUUAACAAUGGUCUUAGGAGAUGCAAAGACGAAAAACUACUUACCUUAAAAAUCUGUAUUCUUGAAGAUAUAUACUCCACUUGAAUAAGAUACUGCUCAAGGUUUAGGCUUCCUGGAGAACUCAGAGGAUUUUGUAGUUGUACUUAAUAUACUCAAUAGCCAAAUUUCCUAAACUUUCAUAAUUUUGCUAACCAAGGGCCCUUAACAAAGUUAAAAGACACCACAGGGUUCAAAAGUGAACAAAUAUGUUGUUUUUGUUUUAAGACGGAGUCUCAUUCUUGUCACCUAGGCUGGAGUGCAGUGGCGCAAUCUCUGCUCACUGCAACCUCCAUCUCCCGGGUUUAAGUGAUUCUCACACCUCAGCCUUCCGAGUAGCUGGGAUUACAGGCGCGCGCCACCAAGCCCAGCUAAUUUUUACAUUUUUAGUAGAAAUGGGGUUUCACCAUGUUGGCCACGCUGGUCUCAAACUCCUGACCUCAAGAGAUCCGCCCGCCUCGGCCUCCCAAAGUGCUGGGAUUACAGGCAUGCGCCACUGUGCCUGGUCACAAAUAUGUUAAUGAGCCAAUUAAGAUGGUGCUGCUCAAAUGAUUCUAAUUCAGGAAACUUAGGUUGCAGCUAGGUAAUCUCUAGUUCUCUAAAGAAUAAUACCCAAAUGACAGGAUUUAUGUGUUGAUGCAAUAAUAGCUCAGUCUGUUUCAUGACCUAGCUAGAGUCAGAAUUGGAGCGGUGGCUAUAGCACAGGGGUGGCUUUCUCCUCUCUGAAGGAAAAGUAAAGAAGUAAGAAGAAAGAGGUUGAAAGAACAGCCUACACAGUUGUUGCCCAGAUCUCAAAAUUAGCAACAAGUAUGUCAGCUGUCCUAAUUAUUACCAAACAGGUCCUGGGAGUGUCUGACACACAACAUAAUAUAGGUGCAAUCAGUUCCAGAAUCUGGUUAUUGUAUUUUUUAACUCCUCAGGUUAUGUAAUAAUACGCAUCCAGUGUUGAGGAACACUGACAAAAAGGUUAGAGUUCAGUGAGACACUGAGGCCUCUUCAGUACAUAAAAAUAGGGUUGGAAGUUAGCAUCUUGACACUCUUUGGGGGAUUCUAUAUCUCUUCACUUGCCAUUAAGUGAAACGUUCAGAAAUUUAAGAGUCAACAAUGCCACCAUUACUGCUGUCAAAGUCCUUCAGUGAUUAAAAAGAUACCAGAAAGAUACCCUGAUCCCUUGAUCAUCUGGUGGUGUUAAACUACUUCAGUAAGAACAAAAGAUGUGCUUUCCAAGGGUGGAGACAUCCAACUUGUAUUCAGUUCCCCAUUACAUUCUGGAUUUGGGUCAAUGAAAGAAGCAUCCAUUGGGGUGAUAGCUAAGGCGUGUCCUCGCCACAUAUCAAUGAGAUUUCUGGAGGGGAGUAGUGUGGGAAAGUGGUUAUAACAUUGCGCAAGCAGAUGUCAGAGAAUUUCUGAAAGACAGGGCUAUCUCUAGAAACUCACUGUAAGUAAGGAGACAAUUAACACUUUUGAAGCCCAUUUAUCCCUGAUGGUCAAUUACACACUAAGAACUUCCUUUUUUUUUUUUUUUUGAGACUGAGUCUCGCUCUUUCACCAGGCCGGAGUGCAGUGGCACUAUCUCAGCUCACUGCAAGCUCCGCCUCCUGGGUUCAGGCCAUUCUCCUGCCUCAGCCUCCCGAGUAGCUGGGACUACAGGCACCCGCCACCGCGCCCAGCUAAUUUGUUGUAUUUUUAGUAGAGAUGGGGUUUCACCGUGUUAGCCAAGAUGGUCUCGAUCUCCUGAUCUCGUGAUCCACCCACCUCGGCCUCCCAAAGUGCUGGGAUUACAGGCAUGAGCCACCGCGCCCGGCCAAGAACUUCCUUUUAAGAUUUGCCCUGAAGGGCCCUAGAGCAUUUCCUCUUCCAUGCAGAGAAUCAGAAAGCUUGGAUUCUAGCUCUAGCUCCCAACAAUUAGCUGUAUGUAAUUGAUGAUGGGUGACUUCAUUAGUGUCAAAGCCAAAGCAUAUUCUCUGUCAGCUUUUCAAAAAAACACGCAGUAAAGAGAGAUUCCUACCAGGAAAACUUUGAUGGGUGUUUUUCAAGUGUCAUCUCACAGCAGAAGAUGCCCCAAGUGGUCAAACCUUGCCAACAGCUUCAAAAAAAGGUAACUAGGAUUUAACUUUACGGUGCAUUUUGAUGUUUCCCUUUGUGUCAUAUCUGAUGAUAAAAGAACCUUAAAAAAAAAAAAAAAAAACACUAUCCAGCUUCUCCAUUCUGUCUCCUGCUUUACUUUCUCUUGUUUACAAAAUACAAAUUUAUAGCUGGAUUUGAUGCUGAAAAUUUAAUACAGUUACCUCAUGUCACAGAUAAAGAACAGAAAUGACUUGACCAAGUUCAC
rnacentral:lncRNA from 1 species